rnacentral:rRNA from 1 species
GUGGGGAAUCUUCCGCAAUGGACGAAAGUCUGACGGAGCAACGCCGCGUGAGUGAAGAAGGUUUUCGGAUCGUAAAGCUCUUUCGUUAGGGACGAACGUGCUCUUUGUGAAUAAUGAGGAGUAAUGACGGUACCUAAAUAAGAAGCCACGGCUAACUACGUGCCAGCAGCCGCGGUAAUACGUAGGUGGCAAGCGUUGUCCGGAAUUAUUGGGCGUAAAGCGCGCGCAGGCGGGAUAUCAAGUCUGUCUUAAAAGUGCGAGGCUCAACCUCGUGAGGGGACAGAAACUGGUAUUCUUGAGUGUCGGAGAGGAAAGUGGAAUUCCAAGUGUAGCAGUGAAAUGCGUAGAGAUGUGGAAGAACACCAGUGGCGAAGGCGACUUUCUGGACGAUGUCUGACGCUGAGGCGCGAAAGCUAGGGGAGCGAACGGGAUUAGAAACCCGUGUAGUCC